rnacentral:lncRNA from 1 species
UUGUUAAAUUUUGAUGUGGGAUCGAGUGUUACACUACUGCUUUACCUUUUUCACCAAAAUAAUAAGAAAAGACAAUUUUCUAUUUCUAUUGAAGUAUAAUUUAAAUAAAUAACCAUAAAAUCACAUUAUCUCCAUUGGUAGUUGUAAACUAAGGACAAUAACUAGAGUCAGAAUCCCUGCAAAUCUAGGUUAGGUUGAUGGAGGUUUAAAGCUCUUAUCCCAUACAGGAAAGACAGAAAAUGUGGUGCUCUUUCCCCUUGUUUCACACACUUAGCCCACUGCACACCCACGGCCAUAACAGAGUUUGAUUUGUCCAAGAGAUACACAUUCAGCCACGGGACAAACCACAAUAGUUACCACGUUACAAACACAGGACCCAAGGAAAACAAAUUUUGAGUGGAGGAGGAGAGGAAGUGUAAGAAAUUGGAAUAUGGAUAAAAAGGGGGUUGGUCAGGAAUUAACUAACUAAUUGAUUUUAAUUUGUUUGUCUACUCCUUUGGAUUGUAAAUUAGUUACUGGAGUAUAAUAA